rnacentral:lncRNA from 1 species
GCCGGAACCAUUCGCGAGAGGGAGAGCUCUGCUUAUGAGCAGAAUUUCAGAUUGAGGGAGAGGAGCUCCGGUGCGAGGUGUCGAUCUACACCGGAGAGAAGGCGUCGACUCUGCCGAAAAUUGCAGGGCGGCGGCGCGGAGAUUUCAGAGAUGGAAGCUAAGCCUCGAUCUUCAUCGUCUUGGAAGAGAAAUCAAUGGUGAAGUGAGAUGGAUGGAGAUGGGAGACGCCAGAUUCAGAGGCGAGGCGUGGAUCUGUUAGUGAGGAACUGAGGGAAGGAGACACUGACCUAGGCGCAGGCGCAGGCGCCGACCAGCCGGCGAAUUCCGAGAGCAAGAUGCGGCUCCGCCGGAGUUUCAGAGCCGCUGAUAAUUCGCCGGAUUUUGAGAAGUGGUGGCAGCAAAUUUAGAGCGGAGAUGAGCAGACUUUUGCGAGGGACAACAGAAACUUGCAACUGAGAAACAGAGACUAUGGGCUAAUUUGAGUUGAGCGAGUUUUGGGCUGUUCUAAUUUUCCUUGAUUGGACCAGAAUAAUGGGCCCCAACUUUACUUAUUAGUUGGGCUGUUAUUAAAUGGAGUUGGGCUGCUGCAACUUUUUUAGAAAGGCUGAACAGUGGGCUUCGCUUAAAUUGUGUAUGGGCCGAUUUUUAUGUUUAAGAUGGGCUCAUUCAGAGAGAGCUAAUUUUCAGUUGGCCUGGAGUCGAGUGGGUCGAAUUAUGAGUCCGGGCCCUAAUGUUAUUUUUUAUGGCCGAGCAUUUGGGCCUUUGUUUAAG